CAUCGCCUCUUGCAAUAAACGAAUAAGAGGUCCCGCCUGCCCUGUGACUCUAGUUUAACGGCCGCGGUAUUUUGACCGUGCAAAGGUAGCGCAAUCACUUGUCUUUUAAAUGAAGACCUGUAUGAAUGGCAUAACGAGGGCUUAACUGUCUCCUUUUUCCAGUCAAUGAAAUUGAUUUCUCCGUGCAGAAGCUGAGAUAUUUACAUAAGACGAGAAGACCCUAUGGAGCUUAAGACGAAGGGCAGACCAUGUUAAUUAACCUAACCCAAAUAGAUUAAACUAAUUGGCUUUCUGCCUUAAUGUCUUUGGUUGGGGCGACCGCGGGGAAAUAAAAAACCCCCACGUGGAAAAAGAGCACUUUCUCUUACAACCCAGAGUGACAACUCUAAGUAACAGAACUUAUGACCAAAAAUGAUCCGGCAAUGCCGAUCAACGAAUCGAGUUACCCUAGGGAUAACAGCGCAAUCCCCUCCUAGAGCCCAUAUCGACGAGAGGGUUUACGACCUCGAUGUUGGAUCAGGACAUCCUAAUGGUGCAGCCGCUAUUAAGGGUUCGUUUGUUCAACGAUUAAAGUCCUACGUGA
rnacentral:rRNA from 1 species